UCAUUGAGCUUUCACCCACAUUGAAUCUUCAUUCCGUGUAUUUUCCACCUGCCGUUCACAUACACGGAGGGCCGACAUAAAUUCUACGUGGAUUUUCUACUGUAUAUUGGACCCCAACCCCACGUUCAAAGACACUAUAAUGGCAAGUUCAAGGGCCUUGAACCAGGAAGAUACUUCAUAAAUUGGAGGAAUAGCAAGAAGGCCAGUGUGGCUGCAGGAGAAAGAAGGGAAACGCAGAAUGGGUUUAUCACAUGGCGAAGGAAAUAAGAUAUAUGCAUAGCAAUUAAAUAUGAUGCAGAUUGAGUGCCUUGAGAGAGGAUUUGAGUGUUAAAAAGAGUUCAAAGAAGAGAGUGAUCCCUUGGUGGAUGGAGACCAAUGAAGGCGUCAUGGAGGAAGUGGCAUUUCAGCGGAAUCUUUGGUAGGUAGGAAUAUGAGUGUGUGG